rnacentral:rRNA from 1 species
GGGAGUACGGCCGCAAGGCUAAAACUCAAAAGGAAUUGACGGGGGCCCGCACAAGCGGCGGAGCAUGCGGAUUAAUUCGAUGCAACGCGAAGAACCUUACCAAGACUUGACAUAUAGUAGAAAACUGCAGAAAUGUAGUCCCCGCAAGGCUGCUAUACAGGUGGUGCAUGGUUGUCGUCAGCUCGUGUCGUGAGAUGUUGGGUUAAGUCCCGCAACGAGCGCAACCCUCGUCCUAUGUUGCCAGCACGUAAUGGUGGGAACUCAUGGGAGACUGCCGGGGUCAACUCGGAGGAAGGUGGGGAUGACGUCAAAUCAUCAUGCCCCUUAUGUCUUGGGCUUCACGCAUGCUACAAUGGCCGGUACAAAGGGCUGCAAUACCGCAAGGUGGAGCGAAUCCCAAAAAGCCGGUCUCAGUUCGGAUUGAGGUCUGCAACUCGACCUCAUGAAGUCGGAGUCGCUAGUAAUCGCAGAUCAGCAACGCUGCGGUGAAUACGUUCCCGGGCCUUGUACACACCGCCCGUCAAGUCACGAAAGUCGGUAACACCCGAAGCCGGUGGCCUAACCGUAAGGAAGGAGCUGUCGAAG